rnacentral:lncRNA from 1 species
CUUAACCCCCCGAACUAUUAAACCGGAUAUUCUACCCCCUGAACUUUCAAAAACGGUCAAAUAACCCCCUCGAGUGGUUUUGGAGGGUGGUUUUGUCUUUUUCUUUUUUAUUUAUUUUUGCUGAAUCUUUGAAAAAUCAUAACAAAUCAUAAAAAAAUCAUAAAAUGAAAAUUUUAAUUUUGUUGGACUCCUGAUGAGUCGAUCUACACAGUGAAUAUAUAAUAUGGUAUACUUUAGUACAAAUUUUUUGUUGUACCUUUAAAUCUAUGUUUUUCUAUAAUUAAUUUGAAUAAUUUAUAUAUGCAGUUCCUGUGGUCCAAUUGUGGUAAAAUUGUUAUGGUGGGCUCAAUAUUAUAUGCUUGAACUAUGGUAAAAAUUUCAUACUCAUUGGAUCAUGUAUAACUUAGUUACAGAUAAAGCAUAGAUUUAACAAUAAUAAAGCUAAAUAAAUUGAUAACU